rnacentral:rRNA from 1 species
UACGUAGGCAGCGAGCGUUGUUCGGAGUUACUGGGCGUAAAGCGUGCGCAGGCGGUUUUGUAAGACAGGCGUGAAAUCCCCGGGCUCAACCUGGGAAUUGCGCUUGUGACUGCAAGGCUAGAGUACGUCAGAGGGGGGUAGAAUUCCACGUGUAGCAGUGAAAUGCGUAGAGAUGUGGAGGAAUACCGAUGGCGAAGGCAGCCCCCUGGGACGUGACUGACGCUCAUGCACGAAGGCGUGGGGAGCAAACAGG